UACGUAGGAUCCGAGCGUUGUCCGGAUUUACUGGGUGUAAAGGGUGCGCAGGCGGGCUGGUAAGUCUGGGGUGAAAUCCCGUCGCUCAACGGCGGAACUGCCUUAGAUACUAUCAGUCUUGGAUAAGCGAGAGGUUCGUGGAAUUCCGAGUGUAGCAGUGAAAUGUGUAGAUAUUCGGAAGAACACCAGUGGCGAAGGCAGCGAACUGGCGCUUUAUCGACGCUCAGGCACGAAAGCAUGGGGAUCAAACAGG
rnacentral:rRNA from 1 species